CAUGAUUUCGGUUUACACCGUUCUCACCCUUUGUUUAUACGUACCACAUGUUUCCUCGGGGGGCUUGCCCCCCGCCAGGACACCCCAUAAACCUUUUUGUAAUAGCAGUUAGCGUCUGAAAAUUACAUUAAUUAUUA
rnacentral:misc_RNA from 1 species